rnacentral:lncRNA from 1 species
GUUAUUUUAGCAGGACGGCGCUCCCGUAGGAAACACAGCCUUGCUGUGCCUUGUGGUUUCCAGAGCAGUGUGUGUUGUCUGAACUGGGAGAAUUGGCUUGGGACUAGGCAGACUCAGUGAUUGCAGCAACUGCCUUGAAGACAAGCAUCUUCUUCUCCCAGUGUGUGUAAUGACUUCGCAGGGUCAGCAGGAUAGGCAGAAGAAGCUCACAGAUGGGAACCACAUCCGUACUGGGGCUCAUGGGUCUCCCCUACAAUGGCAGAGCCAUGGAGCAUACUCUGAGUAGAUUACAGGAGCCUGGAGGGAGCAUGGGAUCAUGUAAGCCUCCAUGGACAUGCUCCAGCAGCUCCGCUUUGUGAAAUCAGUCAUAGAAUCAUAGAAAGGUUGGGUUGGAAGGGAUCAUCUGGUUCCAACCUCUAGUCAUCAGGGUUAGCCCACUCCCAGUUCCUGGACACUGAAUCACAAAGGUGCUAAAGCAGGACUUUCCUCAUCUUACACCCUGCCAGGAACUGCUCAGGCUCUGGGGUAACGUCAGGUUCCUGCAAGUGCUAGAGAGCUUCCUGGUGGCCCAGUGCUUCACACCAGCAUCCCCCUGCUUUUGUGGUGCCUUUGAACCACUUAUAAAUAGAUCGUGCCCAUGCAACUGUUCCAUGUGUAACCAUGGGACCAAGGGGAAGUGGCUCAGAUCUCAGGCACAAUGUACAGGCUCUGGUGUCAUCCCGCCCAUCCAUCAGUGCUGAAACCCUUAUGAAAUCCAGAAGAGAUUCUGACAUGCGAUUGCUCGCUCCAUCCUGGGGGCGGGGAGAGAAUUUUUUUUUUAGGAAAGCAAGCGAGCAAGCAAACUGGCAGAACUCCUGCCACAAGGAAUGAAUUUGCACACACACUUUGAUCCCUUUAUGAUUUUUUUAUUUGUGUUAGCCACAUCCUCUUCGCUGCACCACUUAGCAAAAGAUGCUUUAAAUUAGAUGAGGCUUGGAAAACACUCUCUUUGUGGCUCCCUCCCCCCAGCCUUGCCUGCCCUCAGGGCUUAGCAUCGGUCUGGUAGCCAGAGCCUUGCCUAACAUGAAACUGGCACAAAUGAAAAGGCGGAUAAAUAAACGUCCAGGAAUCUUGUUUGUCAUAUUUAAUCCAUCACGUUUCCCAAACAGCCUGGUCAAAAAAUUCUGCAGCAGUGUUUACAUCAUCCUGAUUGAAAGC